rnacentral:rRNA from 1 species
CCCUGGCUCAGGAUGAACGCUAGCGGCAGGCUUAACACAUGCAAGUCGAGGGGUAUAUGUCUUCGGAUAUAGAGACCGGCGCACGGGUGCGUAACGCGUAUGCAAUCUACCUUUUACAGGGGAAUAGCCCAGAGAAAUUUGGAUUAAUGCCCCAUAGUAUUAUGAAAUGGCAUCAUUUUAUAAUUAAAGUCACAACGGUAAAAGAUGAGCAUGCGUCCCAUUAGUUAGUUGGUAAGGUAACGGCUUACCAAGACAAUGAUGGGUAGGGGUCCUGAGAGGGAGAUCCCCCACACUGGUACUGAGACACGGACCAGACUCCUACGGGAGGCAGCAGUGAGGAAUAUUGGACAAUGGGCGCAAGCCUGAUCCAGCCAUGCCGCGUGCAGGAAGACGGUCCUAUGGAUUGUAAACUGCUUUUAUACAGGAAGAAACACUCCGACGUGUCGGAGCUUGACGGUACUGUAGGAAUAAGGAUCGGC